rnacentral:lncRNA from 1 species
AGGGACCAAUUAAAAUUUUAAAUUAAGUUAAGUUAAGAGACCAAAAGUUUAAUUAAGCCUAUAAAUUUAAAAUUUCAUUUAGAAAAAAAAAAAGAAAUUUAAAAUUGGGGAACAUAAACCUAAUAAAUAAGAAGAAAAAAAAUAUUGGAUUGGAGAUGCAGAGGAUCAAACCCCAUGCCUCUUGCAUGCAAAGCGAGCG